rnacentral:lncRNA from 1 species
AAAAAAAAAAAAAAAAAGAAAGAAAAAGAAAAGAGAAAGGAAAAAAGACUUCAUCAAAAAUCCUCUCUCAGUGCCUGUCAUUGUAGAGUUGAGAGUGAUCCCACAUUCGCCGGGUUUCCGCACCUGAGUUCCCAGGCCAGGGGUCGAGCCCUUACCACAGCAGUGACAACACUGGAUUCCUGUAAGCACUAGGCCACCAGGGCACUCCUGGCACUGUCAUUCUUCAGAUCCCCAGUCGUCCGUUCCGUUCCGUUUCCCCGCCUGUCUCAUUUUUUAAAAAAUAGUUGGUUUUGUUUGAUUCGGGCUCCGAACAAGAUCCGUAUGUUUCAUUUAGUUCAUGAUUAGUCUCAGCGUCUCUGUUAAUAAAGAUUAUCCUCAUUCCUAAAGGAAUUAUAUGUUGCAGUUCUGCCCUGUAGAGUGACGUCGCUGCCCCCCCCAUCUCCUGACAGCUGCUGUCAAGCUUUCCUGAGUUUUGUGGAACCGUGUUGUGAUUUUCGAGGCUUCUGCAUUAUUUCUGUUGUCUUUGUGGUUUAAUGUAACCCGUCAUGUUUUUCCUUCCUUCGAUACGUCUUUCUUGAGAGCCUCCUCUGUGCCAGGCGCUGUACCAGGCCCUGGGCAUCCGGCUGCGAACAGACAGGCUCUCGAGGAGCAUACAGUCUGCGCCCUGCGAGGGUUGUGGGUCUGCUCACUGUCCCCCAGCCCGUGUGCAUCCCAGCCAAGUUGAUGACCACGACGCCCGUCCCUUCUGUGCUCACCCAUCGGCCACGCCAAGGGCUUCGUCUUCAUGUUCUCAUGCUGUCCUUUUAUGUGGUUGAUAAGUGGUGUCCCCAGUACUGAUGAAGAGCCCCGGGUGGGCCUUCUAUGGAAGGCCCCUGUUUCAGAGCCCCGCCCUGGGAUUCCAGCAGUGUCACCAAGGGACUGUGUGUGUGUCCAUUCGAAGCUCUUGGGCUUGAGCCUUUGUAGCUAAGCAGGGUACAGUGGAACUCCUGCUUAACUGGCGGAUUGUCCAGAGGCUGACCAAAAACAUCUGGAAGGUGCCCGGAGCUGUUCAGGGGCUCGGCGCCUGCCAAGCCCUGCUAGUGUGUUCUUUGAGCAGGUGGAUUUGCGGUGGGUUGGGGCUUUUGCUGUAAUGAUUAGGCUACCUGCCUAAAGAAGCCUGCUUUCUCAACCUGCUUUUCUUUGCUGGGCAGGAUGGUGUUCGGGGUGACCGUGCUGCCUCUGGCAGAAUCUAGUGGUACAGUUCAGGCUUGUCUUGCUAAUAAGACUCUCACUGAUUUGCAUUUCUCUGAAUAAAUCAUAAGAUUUAUGUUUGGCCACUGUGACGUUUGGGUUUGAGAAUGGUCCAUGAUUCUUGUAUUUUUCCAGUUCAAAUGUAGCUCUCGUGCAGUUUUUGGUGGAUUAUAGCAUUUGAGCCUUUCAAAAAAAAAAAAAUCUCAGUUAGGAGUUCCUGCUGUGGCACAGCGGGUUAAUGAUUGGCUUGUCUCUGUGGAGGUGCAGGUUCGAUGCCCAACCCGGCACAGUGGGUUAAGGAUCUGGCAUUGCUACAGCUGUAGGUCGAAGCUCUGGCUUGGAUUUGAUCCCUGGCCCGGGAACUCCCAUAUACUGUGGGGGCAGCUGAAAAAGGAAAAAAAAAAAUCCUGGUUAAUAAAAAUGAAUAUAUUUUCAGACACAAAGAUUAAUAUUCUUUCAGCUUUCCUAGAUUUUUUCUUGUAUACUUGAGAUAAUACAGAAUACAUGAAUAUACAAUGACACAGGAUCUUCUUUCACUGAAGGCUGCGUAGUUUAGAGUUUGGUGAUAUUUUGUUUAUUUUUUAUUAAGUAAUCUUUAAUGGUUUUGAUUGUGCACUGACACUGGUUAAAACUUUUGAGCAAAUUUCCUUGCCUGUGUAUAUUUAUAUACUGCAUCGCUGUACUGUUACCUUAUAUACAUUAUAAAACCCCAAAGGAAAAGUUAAAGAGGGCUGGGCAUGUUGCGUUUUUGGAUGAACUACUCUCGGUCCCGCUGGAGCAGAGAGCCUCUUCUUUGCGCUGCGUGUCGGCCCCGCGACGUAUUCGGGCUGUUGCCCUCGCACCGCCCUCUCUCUCUCUUUCUAUGGAUCAUGUCCACGUGCUGCUGUUCUUCUCAUCUUAAGAAAAGCCUUCUUUGGAGUUCCCUUUAUGGCUCCGUGGUAAUGAGCCCAAUGACGACGAGGAUCCAUGAGGAUGUGGGUUCGAUCCCUGGCCUCGCUCAGUGGGUUAAGGAUCCGGCGUUGCCGUGAGCUGUGGUGUAGGUGGCAGAUGCGGCUUGGAUCCCACGUUGCUGUGGCUGUGGUGUAGGCCGGCGGCUAUAGCUCCAGUUAGGCCCCUAGCCUGGGAACCUCCAUAUGCCGCAGGUGCAGCCCUAAAAGGUCAAAGAAAAGAAAAGCUACUGCCCAUGUCUCUGCCCCAGUGCAUUUCCGGUCCUUGCUCCCUUCACUUCCUCUUUCAGGUGCCUCCAUGCAGCUUGUUUCCAGCCACUCCAGAUGAAAGUGCUCUCGACAAGGGCAGCAGUGACUUCCUUGCGACUCAAUCUUGUGGCCUCUUCUGGGUCCCCAUCAUAGCAGCUUCACAGUAUUUGGCACAGCAGGUUAUGCCCAUUUCCUUGAAGUGCUGCCUUCUCUGGGUGUGUAUUUCUGGUCCCCCCCCGCCCCCGCCCCGUCUCGUGGCCUCUCCCUUCUCAUUGUCUCAUCUCUCUGACGUCUGAAGUUGGACGGCCUCUGCAUCUUCUCUUUCUCUUUGCAAUCCUCUCCAUGCUCCUGGCUUAAAUGCCAUCCCUGUGGAUGCGUCUAGAAGUUGCUUCAGGAGUUCCCGUCGUGGGUCAGUGGUUAACGAAUCCAACUAGGAACCAUGAGGUUUCGGGUUCGAUCCCUGGCCUCACUCAGUGGGUUAAGGAUCCGGUGUUGCCGUGAGCUGUGGUGUAGGUCGCAGACAUGGCUCAGAUCCCGCAUUGCUAUGGCUCUGGAGUAGGCCGGCGGCUACAGCUCUGAUUAGACCCUUAGCCUGGGAACCUCCAUAUGCCGAGGGGGGAACCUUAGAAAAGGCAAAUAGUCAAAAAAAAAAAAAAAAAAAAAGUAGAAUUUGCUUCAGAGUAAUCCCAAGAGAUAAACAUUGACCAUGAGUUGAUAAUGGUUGAAGCUGGGUGUUGGGUACCCGGGGGUGGGGUAUUGUACUAUUUUCUCUAGUUUUGUGUAUGUUUGAAAUUUUCCAUAAUG